AUUGAACGCUGGCGGCAGGCCUAACACAUGCAAGUCGAACGAGUGGCGGACGGGUGAGUACUGUCUGGGAAACUGCCUGAUGGAGGGGGAUAACUACUGGAAACGGUAGCUAAUACCGCAUACCAUCGGAUGUGCCCAGCUGGGAUUAGCUAGUAGGUGGGGUAAAGGCUCACCUAGGCGACGAUCCCUAGCUGGUCUGAGAGGAUGACCAGCCACACGUGAACUGAGACACGGGCCAGACUCCUACGGGAGGCAGGAGUGGGGAAUAUUGCAAAAUGGGCGUAAUCCUGAUGCAGCCAUGCCGCGUGUAUGAAGAAGGCCUUCGGGUUGUAAAGUACUUUCAGCGGGGAGGCGUUACCCGCAGAAGAAGCACAGGCUAACUCCGUGCCAGCAGCCGCGGUAAUUC
rnacentral:rRNA from 1 species